rnacentral:misc_RNA from 1 species
GAUGAAGAACGCAGCGAAAUGCGAUAAGUAAUGUGAAUUGUAGAAUUCAGUGAAUCAUCGAAUCUUUGAACGCACAUUGCGCCCGCCAGCAUUCUGGCGGGCAUGCCUGUUCGAGCGUCAUUUCAACCCUCGCAGCCCAUCUGGGCAGCGGUGUUGGGGACCGGCACCACCGGCGAAGCCCUUAGGGGCCCAGCCGGCGCCGCCCCCGAAAUACAGUGGCGGUCUCGCUGCAGCCUCCCUUGCGUAGUAGCACACCUCGCACCGGAGCGCAGCGCGGCCACGCCGUAAAACCCCCGACUUUCUGAGUUUGACCUCGAAUCAGGUAGGAAUACCCGCUGAACUUAAGCAUAUCAAUAAGCGGAGGA